UUGUUUUUCUCUGAUUAGUUUUUUAGUUUAGUUUGAAAAUUGCUUAGAAAAUGGUAAAUUCUGACGAUAAGAAUUUGAAUUUGAUGGGCUACAGCUCUUCGAUGAACCUACGCCGAAUGGAGUAUCCUCCACUGGACUCGAUCCUGGGCCAAUCGCUUCCAGUCGCCCGGAACAUUGAGCGCCCUCAGGUCCUCUUCAACUGCAAAAAGCCAUCGUGCCUCGAAGCCUGCGGCCUCUUCCGGGUUCAAAUUGUUGGUUGACGAUAAUAAACUCAAAAUAGAAGGUGAAAAAGUCUCAAAUUUCCUGUAAGUAUCUUCUCAAUCAAACGAAUGGUCAUUGUGUAUUUGUGAAUUUGGAAAAUUUGCGGACCGAGGAAGAAGGCCGGAUUCAAUGAUUUAUUCACUGUAUAACAUUGGUGAUGUCUAUAAAGUGAUAAUAAUUAUGCCCGAAUGUGCCGGAUCUUGAUUCGAAGCAGGGACUGUGUCCAGUAAGUACUGCAACCACUGCAACGGGACCGGAAAACAGGUGACAAUUAGCUUAUCGAUUUUUGAUGCAUUCCACCUGUCGCUAAUGCCAAGGUGCACGAAGUUUCGUCAAAUAUUCGUGCCCGGAAGCGGCGGUAAAGGACUGAUGACCCUGAGAGAGCGGAUGAUUAUGUACGUGUGACGGCGUUGGGGUUGGACAUGCUGUACAAAUGCGUGGAAACAAGAACGGCAAAGAUAGCACGCUUUUACAAAAAUAUUAUAAUAGACAACUUUAAAUACAAAUGGAUUGUUCUUCUCAAAUCCGGUUUAGCUGGUAUCAACUUUCGUCUGGCUUUCAUUCGCAAUUCGAUGUAGUACGCAAAAGGUUUAUCUACCCCAAUAUGGUACCGUAUCAAUACUUGGAUGGCGUUCCGUUGCUCAUUAUGCCAUGCACAAGCUAUAGAAUAGGAACUGCAAGCUACACGGCUGAUAUGAAAUGUUUUUUCCCUACAUCCUGUCGAGGAUGUUCGGGACAUCGUUACUUAUGAGUCCAGGAUGCCGUUUGUCCAGACCAUAAUGUGACUAUCACUGGGAAUUUGAAGGAUCGUCCUCAGGAGGAAAACAGUUCGAAGGCUUGAAAAAUAUAAGCAGUUACCGUUCAUAGCAACAAAAACUCACUGACAGAUGGGCAAAUUGUCGCAGAAUUCUCUGACCUUGAUAUGGAGGCUAUUCGGGCGAUUCGAUUGAAACCAUACUCGUUCUGCUCUUUGUGUUACAUAAUCAACGGCCUGAAAUAAUAUAGUCUGGACUAUCACUUGGCGCAUUUGGAGGAUUACUAAAGGUCGCCGAUGAAUUUGAUAUAUUGUCCGAAAACCAUUAGACAUUGUUAGAAGCCAACGACUAUAUGGCAUAAGAAAUGAACAACAACCACAGAGUGCAAGUUCAGGCUUUUCUAACCGGAAUGGGCAAAACAACUAUUCAUGGGUCACAACAAGGAGCACCUCUUCACGAACGAUUGAAAAUCAGACUCAAUGAAAAAAUGGAUUUACUAGACUAGACAGUUUAAGAAAAUGAGUUAGUGGCUUUCGGUAGAAAGUAUAGGAUUGCAAGAAUAAUUUGUUUAA